rnacentral:rRNA from 1 species
AGAGUUUGAUCAUGGCUCAGAGCGAACGCUGGCGGCGUACUUAACACAUGCAAGUCGAACGAGGAGCUUCACUGUAGCAAUACAGUGGAGCUUCUAGUGGCGUACGGGUGAGUAACACGUGGGCAACCUGCCCUUGAGUCCGGGAUACCCUCUCGAAAGGGAGGCUAAUACUGGAUACGUUCUCCGGAUCGCGAGAUCUGGAGAGGAAAGGUGGCGCAAGCUGCCGCUCUUGGAGGGGCGUGCGGCCCAUCAGGUUGUUGGCGGGGUAAUGGCCCACCAAGCCGAUGACGGGUCGCUGGUCUGUGAGGACGAUCAGCCAGACUGGGACUGAGAAACGGCCCAGACACCUACGGGUGGCAGCAGCAAGGAAUCUUCGGCACUGGGCGCAAGCCUGACCGAGCAACGCCGCGUGGAGGACGACAGCCUUCGGGUUGUAAACUCCUUUCGCGGGGGACGAUACGGACGGUACCCCGAGAAGCAGCCCCGGCUAACUCUGUGCCAGCAGCCGCGGUAAGACAGGGGGGGCAAGCGUUGUCCGGAUUUACUGGGCGUACAGCGCGCGUAGGCGGCUGGUGACGUGCCGUGUGACAGGCGGGGGCUCAACCCCCGACGGCCAUGGUAGACGCGCCGGCUAGAGGCAGGGAGAGGGAUGUGGAAUACCCGGUGGAGCGGUGAAAUGCGUAGAGAUCGGGUGGAACACCAGGGGCGCAGGCGGCAUCCUGGCCCUGUACUGACGCUGAGGCGCGAGAGCGUGGGGAGCGAACUGGAUUAGAUACCCCGGUAGUCC